UAAGGAGACUGCCGGUGACAACCGGAGGAAGGUGGGGAUGACGUCAAGUCAUCAUGGCCCUUACGGCCUGGGCUACACACGUGCUACAAUGGUCGGUACAAAGGGUUGCCAAGCCGCGAGGUGGAGCUAAUCCCAUAAAACCGAUCGUAGUCCGGAUCGCAGUCUGCAACUCGACUGCGUGAAGUCGGAAUCGCUAGUAAUCGUGAAUCAGAAUGUCACGGUGAAUACGUUCCCGGGCCUU
rnacentral:rRNA from 1 species